rnacentral:lncRNA from 1 species
GCGCCCUACCACGCUGUGCGCGCAGCCGGCAGAGGGCCGAGCUCCGGGAUAAGAGGGCUGGCAGACGAUAAGAGCAUGCGGAGGAGGUACCAUCCUUGCAGCUCUCCUGCCUCCAGCAAGAGCUGCCCUGUCUGUGGCCACUUCAAAUCUUCUGAUGGGCUGCGCUCAGAUCUUGAGAAAUGGCCUCCCUGGGGUAAAGCCAGUGCAAGAAGAAGGGAUCAUGAAUCAGAAGGUCCAGAUUUCUUUUCUUUUCAACACUGGGGUAAACAUGUAGACAAUGCCACUGUGAUCAUCUUUUAAUAAAAUUAGCUAAAUAUAAGACAAAUUAAUUCUUACCUGAUUGUUUGUUUGUUUUUAACCCUCCCCUCCAGGGGAGAUCCCGCUUUAGUCCCUUCCCUGUGUGCACUAGACGUAAGCCCUGAGGGUGGAUUUUACCAUCUGGGGACAGAGCUGGAACAGAAGGGGGAAAGGGUGCAGGAGACCAGUCGCACGCUCUGUAGAGCUUGUACUGUCUGACUCAAAUUAAUGAGAAAGAGUGAACAGAAUGAGAAAAUAGGCACAAUAUGCUUAUGAUAUUUAUGCAAAUUUGACAUUUUUUUUGUGUGUGCUGCAUCUAACAUUCCAUUGUGAAAUGUUAAAAAAAAUAUUGACUGUAGCUCUAAUAUCUGUUUGUUUCACUUUCUAGCUGUCAUGGGCAAGAAACUUAGUGGGUUAUUUCAGAGAGGGAGAGGAGAACCAGUUGGUAUUUCUCCUCCACCGCUCACCCCCACCCGCCAGGCAGUCACUAAGUAACUGUUUGCUCUCUUCUCAGAUUGUGUCUGCUUACAGGGUAUUGGAAUUGGCUAAUUCUGUCUUGGAAAAAGGAGCAGCAGUCCAGCCUCAAUCAAAUUAUAACUGCUGCUAGACCAGACAGUCCCAAGUGAACAAAAAAAUAGACCACAUUUUGGGUUGUGCUUAAUUCCAGACAUUCAUUUUCACUUUGAACAAAUAAUUUGAACCUUUCCUUGGGGUAACUUCUUACAUCUACGAGAACUAAAAAAAAAAAAAAGUCAUGUGCUACUGAAAGCUGGAGAUUGUCACAAGCAACAAACUCAUCUCAAAAAAAAAUAAAAUAAAAAUAAGCCAGAUUGUUAGACAAUAUCCUCAAACCUUUUUCUUAACAAACUAUGCUGGCAAAAUAAAGAUAGUCACAAUCCAAUGGCUUUUAAAGGGAGUCAGAAUCCAGUGACUUUGGGUAUCUAGGGUUAAGAAGAGUUUGCUUUGACUCAUCUUGUCCAUAUUUACUCUUAAAGCGGUUAUAUAUAUUGUCUUCCUUGUAUUUUGAUCCUCUGGAAUUCAGGGUAACCCUAUCUAU